rnacentral:rRNA from 1 species
AGCGCGCCCUUCGGGGUGAGCGGCGGACGGGUUAGUAACGCGUGGGAACGUGCCCAGAUCUAAGGAAUAGCCACUGGAAACGGUGAGUAAUACCUUAUACGCCCUUCGGGGGAAAGAUUUAUCGGAUUUGGAUCGGCCCGCGUUAGAUUAGGUAGUUGGUGGGGUAAUGGCCUACCAAGCCUACGAUCUAUAGCUGGUUUUAGAGGAUGAUCAGCAACACUGGGACUGAGACACGGCCCAGACUCCUACGGGAGGCAGCAGUGGGGAAUCUUGGACAAUGGGGGCAACCCUGAUCCAGCCAUGCCGCGUGAGUGAUGAAGGCCUUAGGGUCGUAAAGCUCUUUCGCCUGUGAUGAUAAUGACAGUAGCAGGUAAAGAAACCCCGGCUAACUCCGUGCCAGCAGCCGCGGUAAUACGGAGGGGGUUAGCGUUGUUCGGAAUUACUGGGCGUAAAGCGCGCGUAGGCGGAUUAGUCAGUUAGAGGUGAAAUCCCAGGGCUCAACCCUGGAACUGCCUUUAAUACUGCUAGUCUUGAGUUCGAGAGAGGUGAGUGGAAUUCCGAGUGUAGAGGUGAAAUUCGUAGAUAUUCGGAGGAACACCAGUAGCGAAGGCGGCUCACUGGCUC